rfam:Silicibacter sp. TM1040, complete genome.
CGCCAACCUGGUCAGGUCCGGAAGGAAGCAGCCACAACG